rnacentral:rRNA from 1 species
CAUGAAGCUGGAAUCGCUAGUAAUCGCGGAUCAGAAUGCCGCGGUGAAUACGUUCCCGGGUCUUGUACACACCGCCCGUCACACCAUGGGAGUCGGAAAUGCCCGAAGUCUGUGACCCAACCUGCAAGGGAGGGAGCAGCCGAAGGCAGGUCGGAUGACUGAGGUGAAGUCGUAACAAGGUAUC